GGGGAAGGGUUGGACUCGAUGAGCUUAGAGGUCUUUUCCUACCUGUUUGAUUCUAAAGGGGGAAAAACAACAUUAAAAGCUUGUUCAGGCUGCUGUUGCCCUCGAGUCAGACAUCUGUUGAUCGAUAGGAAUGCUGAAGCCGGUGUGAACUACAGGAGUUCAUCGCCUUUGAAAGCAUCGGCUCCUGUGGCUGUUCUGUAUAGAGCGGCGUGCGGAGCAGCACUUGCAAAUGGGAAAGCUUUUAACGUUCCAGCGGCACAGGGGUAAUGUAGAACACUUCCUUGCGUGAGGGGGUAAAAGAGGCUCUUGCUGCAUGAAGUGGUUCCUUCCUUGCUGUUUUUGAAAGGAAAAUCACAUCAUGUAACAGGUAAAGGACAAACAAAGGUGACAUUUAUUGAUGUUUAAGUUGCUUUUGACAUUAUUCGUUUCAGCGUAGAAUUCUGUUCCUAGUUGGCUGAUGCCUUUUGAGUGCCUACUGAGUAGCCAAAGCUUACUGAUUAUUCAGUCAGGCUGUGAGGCUUCUGCCGCCAGAUGAAGCAAAUACUUUGCCGAGCUCAGCUCACUGUUGGAUUUAAGUGUGCACAAAAUACUUUCUGAGCUUUUUUGCUGACAGCCUGCAUGACAGAUAAAGUACCAGUGCAUGACAGCAGGGGGUUGUUGGAUAUUCCACAGAUGUUUUUAGCAGCUGCUUUCCUUGUCUUUGCCCACAGGGCAGGUCCUGUAGUAUUAUUGAUCUCCUUCAACUGAGAGCUUUCUCUCUGGCUUUGAAGGGUUAUUGGUGUAGGCUCCUCCAGAAGUUUUCUGCAAAGGCCUGGCUUUGAAUUGAGUUUUGCUUUGAAUCAGACCUCAUGUAGCAGUCUGCCUCAGAUGGGACCAUAAUACUGGUGGCCAAUUUCUGCUGGACCUUUUCCAUUGGCGUCAGUUAAGCCUCCCAUGACAGAUUCAUGUAUCGUUUGUGUCUUGUUUUGGAGGCUGGUCUGCAGUUUGCAAGGAUGGGCAGUCUCAGCACUCAGAGAGAGGAAGAUCCUUGAGGAAAGCAGCUGAGGUCCUGAUAGCCAUAGUGCACAGCAUGUGUGUCACAGAUAAAUGCUGAAGACUUUACCAACAGAGGAAACUCACAUUCCCAGCUGUGCUGCACAGCAAGCCUUGCUGUGAACCAUCACUGCGAUUUCCACAGCACUAGGUUCCUGAAACAAAAUGGCAAUUAUUAGGGAAAAAAAAACUAAAUAACCUGAAACAAGAAGGCACACAUGUAUGGAAAUUCAUGACAAUAACUUCUGGUUGGAUUAAGUUUUUU